GCGGAGGAAAGAAACCACAGGGAUUGCCUCAGUAACGGCGAGUGAAGCGGCAACAGCUCAAAUUUGAAAUCUGGCCUCUUUGGGGUCCGAGUUGUAAUUUGUAGAGGAUGUUUCGGGUACCGCCUCGGUCUAAAUUUCUUGGAACAGAAUGUCAAAGAGGGUGAGAGUCCCGUCUUGGACCGGCGGUAGGGCCCAUGUGAAACUCCUUCGACGAGUCGAGUUGUUUGGGAAUGCAGCUCAAAAUGGGUGGUAAAUUUCAUCUAAAGCUAAAUAUUGGCCAGAGACCGAUAGCGCACAAGUAGAGUGAUCGAAAGAUGAAAAGCACUUUGAAAAGAGAGUUAAACAGUAUGUGAAAUUGUUGAAAGGGAAGCGCUUGCAACCAGACUUGCGCGCGGCGGUUCCCCCUUCCUUUUGGUUGGGUUACUCCGCCGUGUCCAGGCCAACAUCGGUUUUGGUGGUCGGUUAAAGGCCUCGGGAAUGUACCUACCCUUCGGGCGUAGACUUAUAGCCCGGGGUGUCAUGCGGCCUACCGAGACCGAGGAACGCGCUUCGGCUCGGAUGUUGGCGUAAUGGUUGUAAGCGACCCGUCUUGAAACACGGACCAAGGAGUCUAACAUCUAUGCGAGUGUUUGGGUGUCAAACCCGGAACGCGAAAUGAAAGUGAACGGAGGUAGGAAGCUUCGGCUGCACUAUCGACCGAUCCUGAUGUCUUCGGAUGGAUUUGAGUAAGAGCAUAGCUGUUGGGACCCGAAAGAUGGUGAACUAUGCCUGAAUAGGGUGAAGCCAGAGGAAACUCUGGUGGAGGCUCGCAGCGGUUCUGACGUGCAAAUCGAUCGUCAAAUUUGGGCAUAGGGGCGAAAGACUAAUCGAACUAUCUAGUAGCUGGUUCCUGCCGAAGUUUCCCUCAGGAUAGCAGUAACGUUUUCAGUUUUAUGAGGUAAAGCGAAUGAUUAGAGGCCUGGGGGUUGAAACAACCUUCACCUAUUCUCAAACUUUAAAUAUGUAAGAAGUCCUUGUUACUUGAUUGAACGUGGACAUUUGAAUGUAUCGUUACUAGUGGGCCAUUUUUGGUAAGCAGAACUGGCGAUGCGGGAUGAACCGAACGCGGGGUUAAGGUGCCAGAAUGCACGCUCAUCAGACACCACAAAAGGUGUUAGUUCAUCUAGACAGCAGGACGGUGGCCAUGGAAGUCGGAAUCCGCUAAGGAGUGUGUAACAACUCACCUGCCGAAUGAACUAGCCCUGAAAAUGGAUGGCGCUCAAGCGUGCUACCCAUACCCCGCCGCCAGGGCAAGAUUUAUGCCCUGGCGAGUAGGCAGGCGUGGAGGCUCGUGACGAAGCC
rnacentral:rRNA from 1 species